GCUCCCUCUCUGAGCACCAGCCACCUCGACUUUCCAGCAGGCAGGGGGAUGUGGCCCGUGGUGGCACGUGGGGCAUGGGCCCUGGGGACAUGGGGUGCCAGCCGGAAGCCCUGAUCUCCGUUGAGUGCUUUGAGGGUCUAGGCAAGAGAAAUGGCCCAUAUCGCUUGUGCUCGCUCGGUGCCAGGCCUGGUACCGGCUGUCCCUGGGAUCUGCCCGGUGCCUGUUGACUUUGCGACAUUGUUUAUUCUCCGUGUACGUGAGGGAACGUUCUCCACGGCGCGCCUCCUGUUCCUGCAGCGGGCUUUGUUCUGUGGUUGUGACCUGACAGCUGCCUUUCAUGCCAGCACUUAGGGAUAUUUGCCCACAACCCAAUGUCCUCAAAUACUGUUCCAGACGCGCCCUGACACUAUCUCAGCUGACCUUGCUUCCCUUGCAAGCUCGGGCGCCGGCUACCUGCCUUUAUGAUCUCUUUGGGCUCCGUGGCCUUCCAUCACAUGGGGUCUGAGCCACUGUUGUGUUGUCCUUGCAUCUUAAGGACCAAUGAUGGGACGGGGCAGGAAGCCUCCGCCUCCCCGGAUGCAGGAGAGAGGGGAGGAGGUGGGAACCCCGAAAACUCAGGGCAAACCCCGCUGUGCCUGAAAUAAAUAAAAUCCAUUUU